GACGAACGCUGGCGGCGUGCUUAACACAUGCAAGUCGAACGGAAAGGCCCUGCUUUUGGGGGGUGCUCGAGUGGCGAACGGGUGAGUAACACGUGAGUAACCUGCCCUUGACUUUGGGAUAACUUCAGGAAACUGGGGCUAAUACCGGAUAGGAGCUCCUGCUGCAUGGUGGGGGUUGGAAAGUUUUGGCGGUUGGGGAUGGACUCGCGGCUUAUCAGCUUGUUGGUGGUGUAGUGGCUUACCAAGGCUUUGACGGGUAGCCGGCCUGAGAGGGUGACCGGCCACAUUGGGACUGAGAUACGGCCCAGACUCCUACGGGAGGCAGCAGUGGGGAAUAUUGCACAAUGGGCGGAAGCCUGAUGCAGCAACGCCGCGUGCGGGAUGACGGCCUUCGGGUUGUAAACCGCUUUCGCCUGUGACGAAGCGUGAGUGACGGUAAUGGGUAAAGAAGCACCGGCUAACUACGUG
rnacentral:rRNA from 1 species